rfam:Gorilla gorilla gorilla genomic chromosome, chr7, whole genome shotgun sequence
GCUGGGCAUGGUGGUGCGUGCCUGUAAUCCUAGCUACUCGGGAGGCUGAGACAGGAGAAUCGCUUGAACCCAGGAGGGAGAGGUUGCAGUGAGCCGAGAUCACGUCACUGCACUCCAGCCUGGGCAACAGAGUGAGACUCUGUCUCAA